AGUGAACGCUGGCGGCAGGCCUAACACAUGCAAGUCGAACGGCAGCACAGUAAUAGCUUGUUCUUACGGGUGGCGACGGGCGGAUGGGUGAGGAAAACCUCGGUAUCUACUUUUUCGUGGGGGAUAACGCAGGGACUCUUACCCUAAUACCCCAUACGACGUACGGGUGAAAGCAUGGGAUCUUACGAUCUUGCGCGAUUGAAUGAGCCGAUGUCGGAUUAGCUAGUUGGCGGGGUAAAGGCCCACCAAGGCGACGAUCCGUAGCUGGUCUGAGAGGAUGAUCAGCCACACUGGAACUGAGACACGGUCCAGACUCCUACGGGAGGCAGCAGUGGGGAAUAUUGGACAAUGGGCGCAAGCCUGAUCCAGCCAUACCGCGUGGGUGAAGAAGGCCUUCGGGUUGUAAAGCCCUUUUGUUGGGGAAGAAAAGCAGCAGGUUAAUACCCCGCUGUUCUGACGGUACCCAAAGAAUAAGCACCGGCUAACUUCGUG
rnacentral:rRNA from 1 species